AGGGCACCACCAGGAGUGGAGCCUGCGGCUUAAUUUGACUCAACACGGGGAAACUUACCCGGCCUGGACACUGGAAGGAUUGACAGAUUGAGAGCUCUUUCUUGAUUCAGUGGGUGGUGGUGCAUGGCCGUUCUUAGUUGGUGGAGCGAUUUGUCUGGUUAAUUCCGAUAACGGACGAGACUCUAGCCUAUUAAAUAGGCUCCCGGCUUUUAAACGCCGGGAGGACUUCUUAGAGGGACAGGUGGCGGUUCAGCCGCACGAAAGAGAGCAAUAACAGGUCUGUGAUGCCCUUAGAUGUUCUGGGCUGCACGCGCGCUACACUGAAGGAAUCAGCGUGUGUUCCCUACCCGAAAGGGUUGGGAAACCCGUUGAACCUCCUUCGUGAUGGGGAUUGGGGAUUGCAAUUAUUCCCCAUGAACGAGGAAUUCCCAGUAGGCGCGAGUCAUAAGCUCGCGUCGAUUACGUCCCUGCCCUUUGUACACACCGCCCGUCGCUACUACCGAUCGAGUUACUUAGUGA
rnacentral:rRNA from 1 species